GACGAACGCUGGCGGCGUGCUUAACACAUGCAAGUCGAACGGAAAGGCCCUGCUUUUGUUGGGUGCUCGAGUGGCGAACGGAUGAGGAACACGUGAGUAACCUGCCCUGGACCUUGGGAUAACUUCAGGAAACUGGGGCUAAUCCCGGAUAGGAGCUCCUGCUGCAGGGUGGGGGUUGGAAAGGUUCGGCUGUUGGGGAUGGACUCGCGGCGUAUCAGCUUGUUGGUGGGGUAGUGGCUUACCAAGGCUUUGACGGGUAGCCGGCCUGAGAGGGUGUCCGGCCACAUUGGGACUGAGAUGCGGCCCAGCAUCCUGCGGGAGGGAGCAGUGGGGAAUAUUGCACAAUGGGCGGAACCCUGAUGCAGCAACGGCGCGUGCGGGAUGACGGCCUUCGGGUUGUAAAGCGCUUUCGCCUGUGACGAAGCGUGAGUGACGGUAAUGGGUAAAGAAGCACCGGCUAACUACGUG
rnacentral:rRNA from 1 species